rnacentral:rRNA from 1 species
UACGUAGGGGGCAAGCGUUGUCCGGAAUCAUUGGGCGUAAAGCGCGUGUAGGCGGCCAGAAAAGUCCGCUGUGAAAACUCGAGGCUCAACUUCGAGCUGUCGGUGGAAACUUUCUGGCUAGAGUCCGGAAGAGGAGAAUGGAAUUCCUGGUGUAGCGGUGAAAUGCGCAGAUAUCAGGAAGAACACCCGUGGCGAAGGCGGCCAUCUGGACCAGCACUGACACUGAGGCACGAAAGCGUGGGGAGCAAACAGG